GGCAAGAUGGCCGAGCGGUCUAAGGCGCUAGCUUCAGGAACUUCGAGCAAUCGAAACGAAUGAACAUGCUAGUCUUGAAAAAGGCGUGGGUUCGAAUCCCACUCUUGUCA
rnacentral:tRNA from 1 species